CUAGAAAAGAUUUUUCAUAUGUCUUACUCGCCCGUACCGUAAACCGACACAGGUGGGUGAGUGUAAAUGCACUAAGGCGCGCGAGAGAGACCUCUCUAAGGAACCCGGCACAUUAGCCUCGUAACUUCGGGAAAAGAGGUGCUCACUUCGGUGAGCCACAGUAAAUUGCGUUUAGCGACUGUUUAACAAAAACACAGCACUCUGCUAAGUCGUUAAGACGACGUAUAGGGUGUGACACGUGACCAAUGCGGAAAGAUUAAGGCAUUUUGUUAGCCGCAAGGCGAAGCUCGGUGCCAAAGUCCCCGUGAAUGUCGACCGUAACUAUAACGGUCCUAAGGUAGCGAAAUUCCUUGUCGGGUAAGUUCCGACCUGCACGAAUCGUGUAACGACUGAACGACUGUCUCGGAGAGGAUCUCGGCGAAACUGUAACUGCGGUGAAGAUGCCGCAUGCCCGCAGUAGGACGGAAAGACCCUAUGCACCUUUACUGUAAGCUGGUAUUGUGUUCUGAUUAAUAAUGCGUAGCGUAGGUGGGAGGCUUUGAAGUGAGUGCUUCGGUGCUCAUGGAGCCGCAAUGUGAAACACCACUCUUUGCUAAUUAGGAUCCUAACCUCGAUUCCUGUCAACCAGGCGAGGGACAGUGCUUGCGGGUCAGUUUGACUGGGGCGGGUUCCUCCCAAAAGAGUAACGGAGGAGCGCGAAGCUUGGCUCAGCACGGUUGGCAACCGUGCGUCGAGCGUAUGGGUAUAAGCCAGGUUAACUGUGAGACCUACAAGUCGAGCAGAUGCGAAAGCAGGCCCAAAUGAUCCGAUGGUUUAAUGUGGAAUUGCCAUCGCUCAACGGACAAAAGGUACGCUAGGGAUAACAGGCUGAUCGGUUCCAAGAGUUCACAUCGACGAACCGGUUUGGCACCUCGAUGUCGGCUCAUCGCAUCCUGGGGCUGGAGAAGGUCCCAAGGGUCCGGCUGUUCGCCGGUUAAAGCGGUACGCGAGCUGGGUUCCGAACGUCGUGAGACAGUUCGGUCCUUAUCCACUGUGGGCGCAGGAAUCUUGAGGGGUUCAUUCUCUAGUACGAGAGGACCGAGAAUGACGCACUUCUGGUGUGGCAGUUGUUCCAUCAGGGGCAUCGCUGCGUAGCCAUGUGCGGAAGAGAUAAGCGCUGAAAGCAUCUAAGUGCCAAGCUCAUCCCAAGAUAUGGAUUCCCGGACGCAAGUCCCUAAAGACCCCCGGCAGACUACCGGGUUGAUAGGUCAGGCAUGUAAGCGUCGCGAGAUGUUUAGUGGACUGAUACUAAUUGGUCGUGCGGCUUGAUCGC
rnacentral:rRNA from 1 species